UGGGGAAUAUUGCACAAUGGGCGAAAGCCUGAUGCAGCAACGCCGCGUGAGUGAUGAAGGUCUUCGGAUCGUAAAGCUCUGUCUUUUGGGACGAUAAUGACGGUACCAAAGGAGGAAGCCACGGCUAACUACGUGCCAGCAGCCGCGGUAAUACGUAGGUGGCGAGCGUUGUCCGGAUUUACUGGGCGUAAAGGGUGCGUAGGCGGAUGUUUAAGUGAGAUGUGAAAUACCCGGGCUUAACUUGGGUGCUGCAUUUCAAACUGGAUAUCUAGAGUGCAGGAGAGGAGAAUGGAAUUCCUAGUGUAGCGGUGAAAUGCGUAGAGAUUAGGAAGAACACCAGUGGCGAAGGCGAUUCUCUGGACUGUAACUGACGCUGAGGCACGAAAGCGUGGGUAGCAAACAGGA
rnacentral:rRNA from 1 species